ensembl:lncRNA
GCAGUUUGUGUCCACAGUUUGUUCUAACGUUGCGCAGUGAAUAAAAUACAACAGUACAAAAAUCAGUUCCUCUGCGUGCUACAAAUAUCAUUAGACAGCAUGUCGGUAAAUAAAAGUUCACAGACAACAACAACAACAACAACAAUAAUAAUAAUAAUAUUAUAAACAUUCAUUUUCCCCUUCAAGUAUGCUACUAUUCAAAGUGACUAGUGUAAAAUUGGCUGAGGAAAUAAAAUAUGUUCAUGAUUAUUUACAUAUUACAGGUCCGGCAGGUGUGUGUGUGUGUGUGUAGAAUUAACAAAAACACAAUUUCAGUGUGUUUUUUGUACACAUACGCACACACACAGAUACAAAAAGACAUGCACACACACACACAGUGAAGUGACUGAUCGGUUUCCAAAUGAUAAAACGGAGCAAAAAAAAAAACAAACAAAAAAAAAACAGUUCAGCAACAUGUAAGACUCCAAAGCCUCCAUCUGAUCUCCCCGUUGAAGUUUUAAUAAAAGUCUGGAGCAGAACUAAAGUUUUCCUGUCGUCCAAUUGCUUUCAUUAGGAAUGAAAAAGAAAAAAACUAAAGAAAAUGUACUGGGAAAUGUCUGGAUGAGCAUAAAAUUAAUCUUGAAUUAAGUUUGACGAAGAAAUCCCAUCUCAAGGUCAACUUAAGCGGCUGUUUUUAGCUUUCAAGCACCACACACAUGGUCUUCUUCAGCAUAUACUGUAGGUAUAUGUAUUAUAUGUUGUUAAAUUUCAACAUGGAAGCAGCUUGUUACAUAUAAUAACAACGUAUAGACCCCUAGACACACCCGUUACUGUGUUCCUAUGAAUACAUCGAAAGAAUAGCAAAAAACUGCCAAAACAUCAAAUUCUACUGAUGUUAGAGCCUCAUAAGUUGGUGAAAUGUCGACCAAAGACUCUAUUUUAGUGGAAAUUGUGGAUCCAUCCAUAGAUAUACACACUUAUAAGUACUUUCUGGGAUCCCAAUGCUACAACUGUUUGUAAAAUUUGCACUUUUUUCCAUUUUUAAGGGGCAAAAUUAAAAGAAAUGAUGAUUUCUUCAUCGACAAGCCAAAAAGUUUGGGAGACUCCGUCGUUAAAAUCUAUUUUUCCCCAUAUAAUGACCAUAUACAGACCCCUAUACACACUAGUUUUUGUACUUCACAUCAACAUUUUGUCAAAAUAACAAAAAAAAGAAAAAAUUGAACCUUUUCUUACCAUAUAUCAAGUUCUACUCAUGUUAGAGCCUCAAAAGUUAGUGAAAUGUCGACCAAAGACUGUAUUUUAGGAGGAAAUGUGGAUCCAUCCAUAGAUAUACACACUUACAAGUACUUUCUGGGGUCCCAAUGCUACAAUUGUUUGUAAAAUUGGCACUUUUUUCCACUUUUAAUGGGCAAAAUUAAAAGAAAUGAUCAUUUCUUCAUCUAGAAGCCAAAAAGUUUGGGAGACUCUGCCGUUAAAGUCUAUUUUUGCCCAUAUAAUGACAAUAUAUAGACAUUGUACACACUAGUUUUUGUACUUCACAUCAACAUUGUCAAAAUAGCAAAAAAAAAAAAGAAAAAAAUUAAACCUUUUCUUACCAUAUAUCAAGUUCUACUCAUGUUAAAGCCUCAAAAGUUGGUGAAAUGUUGACCAAAGACUGUAUUUUUUAGGAGGAAUUAUGGAUAUAUCCAUAUUUAAACACUUACAGGAACUUUCUGAGGUCUCAAUACCAUAGAACUGUUUGAAAAUUUCCACUUUUUUUUUUUCCAUUUUCGAGGGUCAAAAGAAAAAGAAAAGAUUAUUUUUUCAUCUGGAAGCCAAAAAGGUCGGAAACAUCUGCACUUAAACUCUCUUUUUGACCAUAUGGCCCAUAUAGACCCUAUACACAUUAGUUCUUGUGCUCCACGUCACCAUUUUGUCAAAAUAGCCAAGAAAUGGACAGAAGUGAACCUUGUCUUGCUCUACUUUGCUCACAUCAAAUUCUGUUGAUGUUAGAGGCCUCAAAGGGAGCUUUUUAGGACCACAGCACCACAAUUAUUUGAAAAAAUGCAUUUUUUUUCAAUUUUCAAGGAUCAAUAAUUAAAAGGUGUGUCAUUUCUUCAUCUGGAAGCCUAACACGUUGGUAACCUCUGCAUUUAAACUCCAUUUCUGCACAUAUAAUGACAAUAUACAAACCUCUAGGCACACCAGUUUUGUCAAAACAGCAAAAAUGAACUGAAAUCAAUGGAACUUUUUCUCACCAUACAUGUCCACACAUCAAAUUCUACUGAUGUUAGAGCCUCAAAAGUUGGUGAAAUGUCGAACAAAGACUGUAUUUUAGUGGGAAAUAUGAAUACAUCCAUAUCUAUACACUUAUAGGAACAUCCUGGGGUCUCAAUGCCACAAAACUGUUUGAAAGUUUUGCACUUUUGCACUUCUAGCAAGUCCAAGUGAUUUUCUGAAACAGUGGUUUAACUGUUGAUGAAGACCAAGUGAUGCAAUGGUAAAAAAGCGAGUAAGUCGACCUUCAGCUGAGAUUCUUUUGCCCACUCUGGUAAAAUUUCUUCACUUUUCCACCUACAAGUGUGUCAACAUGCACAUGAAGUCCAGAAAAUAAAAAUCUACAACUAUGUAAGAAAAAAAUCUGAACCUACCACCAUGUAUUUCACACUUUACUCCACAACUGUGUACUCUUUUAUUGUUAGGUCUGUUAUUUGAUCUCAUUUGUUUACAGACAUCUGCUGUGCAAACAGGCCCAGACCUGGGAUCAGAAGCAGGAUGAAGCUGGACUACGAUGUGCAGUGAACACACCCGGAGGCUUGUUUCUACGACACUUUGUGGAUGACAACACGUUUAUCCUUGGAGACCAGUCGGCUGAGGGUCUCUGGUUUUAACCCUCCGAAACAAGCAGACGGUCCAUUUUUUUGCGGUUUGUCCUGGUGAAACCGAGCCGACGGCCGGUGCACCUUCACCUUAAUGCUACGACUUCAUACCAGGAGAGUAAACACACAAACCUUCAGCUUCAUUUACACAGUGGCGAUGAAUGAUUGUACACACCCAUAUACAGACAAGCAGACUUCUGGUGAACAUCUGGAGUCUAAAACACACAUCAUAUACACCAGCUGCUUUGGACAAACACUGAUAUUUUUAUGUCCAAAGACAAUUGAUGAGAGUCGCUGCAUCCGUCACAGUAAGGAUUGAAAUAUCGACAGGAAUCAAUAACACCUCAGAGCAUUAACCCUCCUGUUGUCUUCAUUUAUGGGCACCUAAAAAUAUUGUUUCCUUGUCUGAAAAAAAAUCCAAAAAUUCUGAAAAAAAAUCCCCAAAUUUCUGAAAAUUUGCAAAACCUUCAGGAAGAAAAUUCCAAUAAUUCCUUAAAAGUUUCCCUUAAAAAUUUUAUAAUA